rnacentral:rRNA from 1 species
UACGGAGGGUGCGAGCGUUUUUCGGAAUCAUUGGGCGUAAAGCGCGUGUAGGCGGCUUGGCAAGUCGGGUGUGAAAUCCCGGGGCCCAACCCCGGAACUGCAUUCGAAACUGCCUCGCUAGAGUCCCGGAGAGGAAGGCGGAAUUCCCGGUGUAGAGGUGAAAUUCGUAGAUAUCGGGAGGAACACCAGCGGCGAAGGCGGCCUUCUGGACGGUGACUGACGCUGAGACGCGAAAGCGUGGGGAGCAAACAGG